AUUGAACGCUGGCGGCAGGCCUAACACAUGUAAGUCGAGCGGAUGAAGGGAGCUUGCUCCUGGAUUCAGCGGCGGACGGGUGAGUAAUGCCUAGGAAUCUGCCUGGUAGUGGGGGAUAACGUCCGGAAACGGGCGCUAAUACCGCAUACGUCCUGAGGGAGAAAGUGGGGGAUCUUCGGACCUCACGCUAUCAGAUGAGCCUAGGUCGGAUUAGCUAGUUGGUGGGGUAAAGGCCUACCAAGGCGACGAUCCGUAACUGGUCUGAGAGGAUGAUCAGUCACACUGGAACUGAGACACGGCCCAGACUCCUACGGGAGGCAGCAGUGGGGAAUAUUGGACAAUGGGCGAAAGCCUGAUCCAGCCAUGCCGCGUGUGUGAAGAAGGUCUUCGGAUUGUAAAGCACUUUAAGUUGGGAGGAAGGGCAGUAAGUUAAUACCUUGCUGUUUUGACGUUACCAACAGAAUAAGCACCGGCUAACUUCGUG
rnacentral:rRNA from 1 species